GAUGAACGCUGGCGGCGUGCCUAAUACAUGCAAGUCGAGCGAACAGACGAGGAGCUUGCUCCUCUGACGUUAGCGGCGGACGGGUGAGUAACACGUGGAUAACCUACCUAUAAGACUGGGAUAACUUCGGGAAACCGGAGCUAAUACCGGAUAAUAUAUUGAACCGCAUGGUUCAAUAGUGAAAGACGGUUUUGCUGUCACUUAUAGAUGGAUCCGCGCCGCAUUAGCUAGUUGGUAAGGUAACGGCUUACCAAGGCAACGAUGCGUAGCCGACCUGAGAGGGUGAUCGGCCACACUGGAACUGAGACACGGUCCAGACUCCUACGGGAGGCAGCAGUAGGGAAUCUUCCGCAAUGGGCAAAAGCUUGACGGAGCAACGCCGCGUGAGUGAUGAAGGUCUUCGGAUCGUAAAACUCUGUUAUUAGGGAAGAACAAAUGUGUAAGUAACUAUGCACGUCUUGACGGUACCUAAUCAGAAAGCCACGGCUAACUACGUG
rnacentral:rRNA from 1 species